rnacentral:rRNA from 1 species
UACAGAGGUCUCAAGCGUUGUUCGGAUUCAUUGGGCGUAAAGGGUGCGUAGGCGGCGGGGUAAGUCUGGUGUGAAAUCUCGGGGCUCAACCCCGAAACUGCACUGGAUACUGCCUUGCUUGAGUACUGGAGAGGAGAUUGGAAUUUACGGUGUAGCAGUGAAAUGCGUAGAUAUCGUGAGGAAGACCAGUGGCGAAGGCGACGCUCUGGACAGUUACUGACGCUGAGGCGCGAAAGCGAGGGGAGCAAACGGG